rnacentral:pre_miRNA from 1 species
AAUAGAUGAUGCCGUUGACUUUUUCUCACAUGUUUGACCAUUCGUCUUAUUCAAAAAAUUUACGUAAUUAUAAUUGAUAUAUGAGUUUGAGUUGUUUUUUCACUCAUAGUACUUUAAGUGUGAUUUAUAUCUUAUACAUUUGCAUAAAACUUUUGAAUAAGACGAAUGGUCAAACAUGUGAGAAAAAGUCAACGGCGUCAUCUAUU